UUGGCAUGAUGAGGAAAUCAAUCGUUUCUAACUGAUCCACUGGAUGAGAAAUUCCUCCUACUCAUUCUGA
rnacentral:snoRNA from 17 species